UACAGAGGAGCCAAGCGUUGUCCGGAUUGACUGGGCGUAAAGCGCACGCAGGCGGGUGCGCGCGUGGGGUGUGAAAUCUGGCCGCUUAACGGCCAGGCGCCAUCCCAUACGGCGCGCCUGGAGCCUUGCAGAGGUCGGUGGAAUUGCCGGUGUAGUGGUGAAAUGCGUAGAGAUCGGCAGGAACACCCAGGGGGGAAACCAGCCGACUGGGCAAGUGCUGACGCUGAGGUGCGAGAGCGUGGGGAGCGAACCGG
rnacentral:rRNA from 1 species